AUAAGUUCAGACUGUUUAUUGUUUAAAAUAUGAAUUAUUUAGAAUUAGAAUUUACCGCUCAUUCUUCAAUUUGGCCUGCAAUUUGACAGUCUGCUAGAUCCACGCACGCGCUAAGAGCUUGCAAUUUCAUUAUUAGGAGACUUUAGACCUUCUAUAUUCUAGUUGGCGUACAUUUAAGUAAAAUUACUCGAUUCAAACAAGUAAGUGUGCGAGAAGCUGCUGUGUUUAACAGCUCGUCGCGGUGUGAAAUAAUCGAGUGUCAAUAUGUCAGAUGAUACACCAACAACUUUGUAUGUGGGCAAUUUGGACCGUGCUGUGUCAGAAGAUUUAUUAUGUGCUCUGUUUUCGCAUAUCGGCAUCGUUAGAAGUUGCAAGAUCAUCAGAGAGAAACAUACACACGUCCACAUAUGCGCUUACAUGAGUGCAUGCGAAAACAACGAGAUCAGACAGAAGCGCAAACGUCCACAAAUGUAAUUGCGAAAUGUGCGAAAUAUGCGGAUAUGGUAGACGCGUAAAGCAUCAAACGCCGAGUUCUUCAGUUUGCAUCACUCUGGUCCAAAUGCUGAAUGCUGGUGUCGCGCGUAUCUGUCACGAUCUGUCAAGUAAAAGCGCGAUAUCUUCUCGAUAUCUUCGAUAUCGACUUUGUGGAAACGUGCUUUGAUGAUACAACCUGUCUAAAAUAUUUGCUGAUAAGCACUAUAAAAUAAAAUACG